rnacentral:rRNA from 1 species
GAUGAACGCUGGCGGCGUGCCUAAUACAUGCAAGUCGAGCGAACGGACGAGAAGCUUGCUUCUCUGAUGUUAGCGGCGGACGGGUGAGUAACACGUGGAUAACCUACCUAUAAGACUGGGAUAACUUCGGGAAACCGGAGCUAAUACCGGAUGAUAUUUUGAACCGCAUGGUUCAAAAGUGGAAGACGGUCUUGCUGUCACUUAUAGAUGGAUCCGCGCUGCAUUAGCUAGUUGGUAAGGUAACGGCUUACCAAGGCAACGAUGCAUAGCCGACCCGAGAGGGUGAUCGGCCACACUGGAACUGAGACACGGUCCAGACUCCUACGGGAGGCAGCAGUAGGGAAUCUUCCGCAAUGGGCGAAAGCCUGACGGAGCAACGCCGCGUGAGUGAUGAAGGUCUUCGGAUCGUAAAACUCUGUUAUUAGGGAAGAACAUAUGUGUAAGUAACUGUGCACAUCUUGACGGUACCUAAUCAGAAAGCCACGGCUAACUACGUG